UAUGGCCACAUCAUGUUGAAAUAUUGGUUCCCAUAUGAUCACCAAAGUUAAGCAACAUCAAACUUAGUCAGCACCUAGAUGGGUGACCACUUGGGAAUUACCAGGUGCUGUAA